GACGAACGAUGGCGGAGGGAGGAACACAGGCAAGUCGAACGCUGAAGCUCAGCUUUUGUUGGGUGGAUGAGUGGCGAACGGGUGAGUAACACGUGAGUAACCUGCCCCCUUCUUUGGGAUAACGCCCGGAAACGGGUGCUAAUACUGGAUAUUCACUGGUCUUCGCAUGGGGGUUGGUGGAAAGGGUUUUUCUGGUGGGGGAUGGGCUCGCGGCCUAUCAGCUUGUUGGUGGGGUGAUGGCCUACCAAGGCUUUGACGGGUAGCCGGCCUGAGAGGGUGACCGGUCACAUUGGGACUGAGAUACGGCCCAGACUCCUACGGGAGGCAGCAGUGGGGAAUAUUGCACAAUGGGCGCAAGCCUGAUGCAGCGACGCCGCGUGAGGGAUGGAGGCCUUCGGGUUGUGAACCUCUUUCGCUCAUGGUCAAGCCGCAACAAUGGUUGUGGUGAGGGUAGUGGGUAAAGAAGCGCCGGCUAACUACGUG
rnacentral:rRNA from 1 species